UACGGGGGGGCAAGCGUUGUUCGGAAUUACUGGGCGUAAAGGGCCAGUAGGCGGCCAACUAAGUCACACGUGAAAUCCCCAGGCUUAACCGGGGAACUGCGUCUGAUACUGGAUGGCUUGAGUUCGGGAGAGGGAUGCGGAAUUCCAGGCGUAGCGGUGAAAUGCGUAGGAUAAUCUGGAAGAACACCGGUGGCGAAGGCGGCCCGCUGGGCAGGAAGACACCGCAAGGUGUCGGACUGACGCUGAGGCGCGACAGCGUGGGGAGC
rnacentral:rRNA from 1 species